rnacentral:tRNA from 1 species
AUAUCUAAUUGCUCUUCCACGGCGGGUGAAGGGGAUGAUCUGAGUAGUGAGGACGAUCAGAUUCCGUCU